rnacentral:sRNA from 1 species
UUGACAGCCCUGGGAGACUGAAAGGCCUCUGUUUAUCCCCAGUACAGGUACAGUGCACAACUAACAAAAAUGAAACUUUGAGAUAUUUUACCAAUGUAUUUCAGCCCUACUCUACAUGACCAGGGAAAAAAAACAGGAUGCUAGAGGUUAUUUUAGUUAUUCAGGCCAUGCAAUCCUUUGUCUUU